rnacentral:rRNA from 1 species
UACGUAGGGGGCAAGCGUUAUCCGGAUUUACUGGGUGUAAAGGGGGCGCAGACGGCGAUGCAAGCCAGGAGUGAAAGCCCGGGGCCCAACCCCGGGACUGCUCUUGGAACUGCGUGGCUGGAGUGCAGGAGGGGCAGGCGGAAUUCCUGGUGUAGCGGUGAAAUGCGUAGAUAUCAGGAGGAACACCAGUGGCGAAGGCGACUUUCUGGACAGUAACUGACGUUGAGGCACGAAAGUGUGGGGAGCAAACAGG